ensembl:lncRNA
GCAGGGCAGACAAUGACCUCUGCCCUGUCCAGAGAGGACACUCACGUCCUCACCAGGGAGGGAGAGGGCGACUGGCUGGGGAGACUGGAUUUUCCCAGGAGCAGCUUUGCCAAAGGCAGGGGCUCCCUUGUACCCACAGAGCCAACAGCCCUUCCAACCCCCAGCCCCACCAACACCUUUAAUGCUGUCCACGGUUCCCUUCUCCUCUGCUCUGCGGCACUCGAAGCCUGUCCUUGCCUUGCUGGCCACCUGGGGCCACCCCUUCCCCCACAGCCACGGGUAUAAAACUAUAUUCAUUCUGUGAAACCUGGGAUUAAGUCUUCACGCAAACAUUGGCUGUAACAAUUGAAAAGUGACUUCACCAAGGACUGAUGUGCAGGCCCCAGUCUGCCUACAGAUCUGUCACAGUGGAACACUGCUCAGCGCUUCAUCCUUCACAAUAAAUGGCCAGGGUCUGCAGGCCAGAAAUCCCAGGUAAGCCCUGCGGGGCAGCUACAGCCCUUCAGCCUUUGCCUCCAUCACCACCUGGUGUUCCGCGUGAGUGACUGUUUCCUCUUCUCAUAUGUACCACAGUUGUAUUGGAUCAGGACCCACCGUCAUUCAGCAUGACCUCACUUGAACUUGAUCAUGUCUGCAAAGACCUUGUUUCCCAAUAAAGGACACAUUUACAGGUACUGGGGAUUAGGACUUGAACACAUCUUUUAUGGAAACAGUUCAGCCCACGAUACAGUUGUCUUUGCCCUGUGUUGUUCUUCGUGUGUGAUAGAUAAUGAGCAUAAUUUUCAAAAUGUCUGCCAAUGCCCACUCAAGCAUAUUAUGUGACCUUCUUUUUUUUUUGGCAGUGAUUUUUUUUCUAAGGGGAGGUUUACUUAUCCCUCACUGAUGGUGUUGAAGAAAAAUGGGGCAGGAGAGGAUGACUGUGUACUGCUCUCUGGCUCUGCCAGCUUUAGGUCAAGUCGCCCACUGCCUUUUAGCGGCCGUACCCUACCCCUUCCAUAUUGUUUCACUGGAAGUUGAGGAGCAGUUAGGAGACACACUGUGUAGAGCCAGCGGCCACCUGGGGCCCAUGUGAAGGCGGACGGCACCCAGGCGUGGGGCUGCCAGAGACACCCUCAGGACCUAGCUGAGGAGGAGCCAGGACCGCCCGCCUCUGGAGCCCCCGCGAACCCGUGAGGUAAGGAAGCCUGCCCGCUGCCGGACAGUGGUCACUGGGGUCGGGCAGUGCAGUCCCUGUUGGUCCAGUGGCGCCCGCCCCCCGUCCCAGUGACCAGCGCCUGUGAGCUAGAUCUGCCACUAGGCUCACCCACAGGGGCUCCUUGGGUUCUGGGCUUGGGGUGGUAGCCGAGUGGGGAGCUGGCUGGCCUCACUCAGGGCUUCCUGGCUGAAGGAGAUCAGUGAGCUGGUCUGCCUCGCGGCCAGAGCUUCCCAAGGGUUUCCUUCCUUUCAGGGUGGACGGCCUGCGGGGCUCCGCCCUCGCCUAAUUCCCCCGCCUCUGCCAACGGGGUGCCUCCCCCACCCCCACCCCGCUCCACCCCCCUCACUCCGUGUCCUGGCGAUGUGAAUUCUUGUCAUGUGCGGGCCUCGUGCCCUCAACCUGAAAACACUGGCACGAGGUCGCCUUUGUUUUAUCCAUCUAAUUUCGGGAGGUGUGGCUCCUGUCCCGGAUUACGUGCGGAGCAAGGAUGCUCUGAGCGGUCCGCCGGGAGGGUGUAGGACAGGCGGAAAACUCGGGGAAGAGCCAAGCCUCGCAGAAGGUGGCUGGCCUCCUGGGUCCCCGUCAGGAUAUGAAAAGUUCUCUGUCAGCGGUCCUGUUAUGAGGGCGCCCUGUUAUGAGGGCGCCCUCUGCACCCGCGGAAAAUGUCGCUAAACAGGGUUUUGUUUGCGAUUUAAAAGAAAUAGAACGCUUGGAGCAUUUGGGUUUGGUGAACAAAGAACACAAAGAUGUGGGAUUUCCUUGGGGUCCGUCCACGCCCAGCCAGGUUCCCGCGGCGGCUGGAGGGAGCGGUGGGUACCCAGAUCCCUUCUUCCUUGCGCCACCCCUACCCCCGGGGACUGUCCCUGGAGCUGAGUUCUGCCUGUUGACUGCUCUGGCAUUUCUGUUGUGCUGGUUGGUUGGUUGGUGGGGUGGCUGCUGCGGGCCUGGGGCCGUGGUGCGUGGGCUUCUAUCCCCAGCUCGGCUGUAUUUAUAGGAAGAGAAUUAAAGCCAAAGUAACUGCCAUGGUAAAUGUCCAUACCCUUGGCUCCCACCAGACCUUCUAGUCGAACUGGAGCCUGAGUCAGUUCCCAGGAGGAUAAACUUAAUAUUAGUGAUAAUAAUACUUUGCACUUGGUCUAGUGAAAAUAUUUUGAGUACGGUGGAGGCAAGGAUAUGAAUGUUUGCUUGGCGCUAUUUAUCAGGAAGUGCUUCUGCUUGUUUAUUAUGUUAGGGCUUUGUAUACAAAACUAUUUUUUUCCUCUCUCACCACCGGGGGCCACAUUUCUUGCCUUUUGCUACAUCCAAAGUUGAACAGGAAGUUGCCGUUCAUAUUUAAAUCAUAUGUUUUUAAAACAUCUGUAAAUAGCUGAAGACAGGAGGGCUGAAAGGUGUGGAGUUGUUUAAUAUUCUCCCUGACAGAUAUUUUUGCACUUGAAAUUAAAUCUCAGUGGUUGUGAAACAGGAAAUUUGAAAGCACCUAGUCCCAGAGAUGAUGACAUUUUAAUGCUUAUUCAUCUUUGAACCUCUGGGGGUUCUGAGAUACUCAGGGAAUAAGGAUUCUGAGGGAAGGAAGUGACUCUGAGGAAUUAUUCUUACUUGUAUUCAGACAUAUUACAGGAGAGCAGGAGCUAACCUGGGAAAAGCAAGUGCAUAUUAGUCUUCUUCCCGAGUUGACAGUGGGGAGAAAAAAAGACCCUUUAUGUAUUGCAUGGUAGCUGUCUUCUCUCCAGUAAUUAUGAAGAGUUUUCUUGCAGAUUCUUAACUUCCUCUGGGAGCCAUCUCCUGGGUGAGUGAUACAUCACCUGUGGGGGACUCUGGUGUCAGUGAGGCAGCACCCAGUGAUGACUGGGGGCUGUGCAGUCGCAGCAGCAGGUCCCUCAGACAGGGUUGGGGCGCUCCAUCUUUCCAGCACAGCCUCAGGUGAUGUGUUAUUCACAG